rnacentral:lncRNA from 1 species
AUCAAAAGAAAAUAUAAUGAGGGUCAUGCUCGAACCUUGCUUCAUUAAUAAUUCAACCUUAAUCUUAUGAGGUUUCAAACCCCCUUAAUAAUUAAAGGAAGCAUGUUACCCUGCAACUCCGAAAGCCAAUAAUAAGGAUAAUCUUUUAUAUACCUUUUGUGAAAAUCCCAAAGAUAUUAAAGACAUGUGUUGGAAACUACAUGGUAGGCCAAAUACCUCUAAUAAAAAAUAGGG